AAACUGCGAAUGGCUCAUUAAAUCAGUUAUAGUUUACUUGAUAGUCUCUUACUACAUGGAUAACCGUGGUAACCCAGAGCUAAUACAUGCAUCAAGACACGACUCCCUCGGGGGAAGUGUUGUAUUUAUUAGGUAAAAAACCAAUGCCCUUGCGGGCUUCCUGGUGAUUCAUAAUAACUUGCGGAUCGCAUGACCUUGUGUCGGCGACGUUUCAUUCAAAUUUCUGCCCUAUCAACUAUCGAUGGUAGGAUAGAGGCCUACCAUGGUUAUAACGGGUAACGGAGAAUUAGGGUUCGAUUCCGGAGAGGGAGCCUGAGAAACGGCUACCACAUCCAAGGAAGGCAGCAGGCGCGCAAAUUACCCAAUCCCGAUACGGGGAGGUAGUGACAAGAAAUAGCAAUGCGGGGCCCUAAGGGCAACGCAAUUGGUGAUGAGGGGGGUGUAAACAUUUCCCCGAGUAUCAAUUGGAGGG
rnacentral:rRNA from 1 species